rnacentral:misc_RNA from 1 species
GAGUAUAAAUUGUUCAAUUGGCAAUGUGAUAACAUCACAUCAUGAAGAGUCUGUACGGCCAAACACAAAAUGGGAAGAUUCCAAUUAACCACGUUGCACAAUUGAUCAUUCACAACAAUAGUCGAUUGAAGUUUAUUUAUUGACAUGGGCGUAAGCAAGGGAAACAGAGCCAAUCACAAUGCAGCAAGUCAGUUGUAAUCGUCAAUUUUGUUUGUCGUAAUUAUGGAUGUGUAAACAAUUCUAUUUCUUAAAUUAAUCAUUGAUUAAAUUAAUUGGAGUUUGAUCAAUCAAAAAAUAGAUACUGCAAACAAAACGUUUCUUCUUCAAUAAAUUCUGGAACGCGGUCGUUAUUGAAUAUUUACCGACCAUGAGGUAUCAUUGUUACCGACUGUUUAUCUGACAUACAAAACGGGAUGUCUGGAAAAUGUCUGAAUCUUGAGGGAGAAUCGACAGCCGUGCAACAACCAAGUCGGGGAGAUGCAAUCGGCGAUGAAACAUUAUUACAAUAUUAACAAGAUAUUCUUGUCGAAACUUGGCGGUUGGCCAACGCAAAGUAAAUUCAUGAAAAUAUUGUUGCCGACUAUAAUAACGUCUUUUGUUUUCAGCAUCGGUUUUCUCCAGUUUGUAAGACUGUCUGAAAGAUGGCAAACCAUAACCGAGGACUGUGAAUGCUUCAUUGUAAUGUUAAUUACAUUUGGCGCUUACUGUAAAUUGUUUACCAUAGUUUUUAAAAAUAAGAAUGUAAGAUUUUUUCUUCUUUUGCCUAAGCCCUUAAAAAUCACAAGACGCGGAUUGUAUCCUUCGUUUUGCAUUGUUUCUCAGCUAGAACACCUGUUGUCACUCAUCGAUUAUCAUUGGCGAAUUUUUACGCAUUCUUUGGAGAUACAAAUUAUGCACGAAUACGCUAUCGUAGGAAGAAAAAUGACGAUAAGUUACGCCGUUAUGAUUUAUUCGUUGAUGAGUCUUUACAUGCUGAUCCCAGUAACACCGCAAUUAUUGGAUCUCUUUAUUCCUCUUAAUAAAUCGCGCUCUUACAAAUACCUGUUCGAUAUCGACUACAGCUUCGACAGAGAGGUGUAUUAUUAUCCUGUAUUACUCCAUUCAUAUCUGACAACUGUACUGACUAUGAGCCUCAUGGUAAUAACCGAUACGAGCUACAUGUCGCUCGCGCAACAUGCGUGCAGUCUGUUCGCCGCUGUUGGGCACCGACUAGAAAAUCUAGUCCCGGAAAGUAAUUCAAAGAAAAACAAUUAUUUUGUUGAGGAUGUAAAGGAUGUAAUUUGUGAUAAGAGCAACUCACGAGAUUAUGAAGACCAGACUUAUCACGAACUGGUACUUCUCUUGCGGAAACACCAGCUGAGUAUUCAAUAUGCCCGUUUAUUGAAUUCUUUAUUUGAAAUGUAUUCAUUUAUGUUACUCUUCAUUACUAUCCUUAUUAUGAGUCUCUUGGGAAUUCAAAUAAUUUCCUUAAUGAAUCAUAAAGAAGAGAUGGUCAGAUACGUAGCGAUGGUAAUAGGUGCUUUCAUACAUCUUUUCGUUUUGAGUUAUCCCGGCCAAAAAAUAAUGGACCAUAGUGCAGAUAUAUUCCACAAAGCGUAAAUAUGUCGCACCAAAGUUAUUCGCGCGAUGUGGAAAAAUAAAACAAAACUGUGAUACAACAUGUUGUGGUACAAAACGUCACGAAGAACGACACGGCUGUUGAGUAUAUUACUUUACAGAGGUUUUGUGCC